UGGACCAUGUCGCCACCUUCCUGUUCAAGUGAGCACAGCACAACAAGGUGGCUCUGUAUAUCUGGGAGAAUGGCCAAGGGCCUCGUCUGACGGCAGUCCCAGAGCUGUGUACUGAGCCAGAACACUCUCCCACUGCCCAACACUGUGCUACCACGCUCAGGAGACCUGCUCCCCUGUGUCUUUCUUACUUGGUGCACUUGAUUGGGGUUUAAAUGGAAUUGCACCAAUGGAAUAGUCCCAAAAGUGCCAACACCACCCACUAAAACCAAGUAUUUUGGAGGAAAAAGAUGCAUGCUUUGGACCCAAGUCUGCUCCACCCCCCAGGAACGAUGAUUAAGUCAGUCUAUAUGCAUGCAAACUAUCAGAAAGUUGGAGAGGAAUCUCAGGAUGACCUUAUUGCUCAAAUCUUCUUUCUCCCUCAAGCGAUAUUUUAAAGAACUCUCAAAUCCUCUUCCAGUACUUUACAUUCCUGGGUGAGACACUCUUCAGCAGGCUACACCCUCCAUACUGGAAUUCCGUCUCAUAGCGGCGGGCAGCUGCAGCCCUCAAGAGCCGUGUUGGUGUCACACCUUUUCUCCAGCCCCACAGCAGUACACCUGAUGAAUCCAAUUGUGGGCUAAAAUAAAAAGUAGUUAUUCGUUCAUUUAAAUCAGGUGUGAAGUGCUGAAAAGUGUGAUGCCAGCAACAUGGCCAUUGAGGACUGCCGCUGCCCACCCAACACAAACCACUGUGUUGAGCUCUGGCCUAUUAGUUUGAACUCAGAUACGCUUAAUAUAUGCCCUCUGUUCUUGGUGCCUGUCAGUCUGUCUGACUUGUACCCCUGGAAGUGUUGCCUUUCCUCAGCCUGAUCUGAACAUUUGAUAAAGUGCUCAGAGAGAACAAGGUGCCCUCUCUCCUUUUACUCUUUCUCCUGGCUCUCUCCUUUUAGUCUUUCUUCUACCCUUCCUCCCUCCUACCAUUCCUCCCUAAUUGUAUUACAUUUAAAUUA
rnacentral:lncRNA from 1 species